rnacentral:rRNA from 1 species
AGAGCGAACGCUGGCGGCAGGCCUAAUACAUGCAAGUCGAGCGGUCCCUUCGGGGGCAGCGGCGGACGGGUGAGUAACGCGUGGGAACGUGCCCUUUGGUACGGAACAACUGAGGGAAACUUCAGCUAAUACCGUAUGUGCCCUUCGGGGGAAAGAUUUAUCGCCAUUGGAGCGGCCCGCGUUGGAUUAGGUAGUUGGUGAGGUAAAGGCUCACCAAGCCUACGAUCCAUAGCUGGUCUGAGAGGAUGAUCAGCCACACUGGGACUGAGACACGGCCCAGACUCCUACGGGAGGCAGCAGUAGGGAAUCUUGCGCAAUGGGCGAAAGCCUGACGCAGCCAUGCCGCGUGAAUGAUGAAGGUCUUAGGAUUGUAAAAUUCUUUCACCGGGGACGAUAAUGACGGUACCGGAGAAGAAGCCCCGGCUAACUUCGUGCCAGCAGCCGC